UACAUGGGGUGCAAACGUUGCUCGGAAUUAUUGGGCGUAAAGCGCACGUAGGCGGUUUGUUAAGUCGGAUGUGAAAUCCCUCGGCUCAACUGAGGAAGUGCAUCCGAAACUGGCAAGCUUGAGUACGAAAGAGGGUCGCGGAAUUCCCGGUGUAGAGGUGAAAUUCGUAGAUAUUCGCAAGAACACCAGUGGCGAAGGCGGCUCACUGGCCCGAUACUGACGCUGAGGUGCGAAAGCGUGGGGAGCAAACAGG
rnacentral:rRNA from 1 species